rnacentral:rRNA from 1 species
UAGCAUGAAGUCAGACAAGUGACCCCGCUGAAUUUAAGCAUAUCAAAAAACGCGGAAGAAAAUUAAGGGGGGAUCUGUCGGUAGGGCGUCAUAAGGCCCAGGCGGCGGUAGAGCGGAAAGGGCGGUC